CCCACCCGCGGCCUCGGAGCCCAGCCCCGCCUCCCCGCCCCGCAAUCCCGGGCCCCAGGCCGCGCACGGAUCCGAGGCGACGUGUUCGAGCCCCCGAAAACGAGUGGGCUAACUUUCAGGUCCACCCCCAACCCUGAGACUGCCUUUUCACCCGUGACCCGGAGUGCGCGCUAAGCAGCAGCCAAGUCUUUCUGCCGCUGGUAUUGUCGCUCCUUCCCGGCACAGCGUCGCGCCGCGCUCGGGUCGCUCUCCUCCGACGGCGCUUCCAACACCGAAAAGCUGCCAUCAGCCCCGGUGAAGAGGGAGUUUCACCCACUGCAACCAACAGCAUCCGGACAAAAAUGCGCCCUCCCUGGACAAUGGCCCGGCCUCCCGCUUCUCGCCCUCGUCUUCCUCCACCGGAUCGCAGCCAGGACCUGCCUAGGAGCUCAGUGGCUCAGUGGCAGGGAACGCCCCCGCCCCCAUCCUGCUCUGUUCCCUAGCAGUCCCUCCCGAGGUCAGGCCAGGGCGCUGGGACGCCGGCGCAGCCCCUUCUCCCUACCCCUGCUGAUCCCCCACGCAGGCCGAGGCCGGGACACAGAACCUCCUGGCAGAGCUCGGGAGCUCCCACAGCGGAGUUCUCCGCGGGAUUGUGUGGGUGGUUAGAUGGUCCUGAGUAGCACAAACUCCAGCUUUCUUUCAGGGUUAAGAAAACAAUUAUUAGUAUAAUGCACAAAGCAGACUACUCCCUCCCUCCCGCCCCCCCCCAUCCGCACACAUUCACAUUCACGUAAAUAUAAGCAUCCUAAACCACGAUCCUAGGCAUGAUCUCUGACUUUCUUUCACUCUCCCAAGGUUAAUUAGGUUCCCAUCCACGAACCGAGCUCCGCGCCUAUUCAUUAUUCUCUCCCUCUGACCUAGGGCGUUAAUAUGAUCAGGCCUGUGACUCGGCCGUGUCCUGUUUUCCUAUUUUGCAUUUAAUGCUGGGACCCGGCUGCCCCAGAUUACCAUCGAAAACUCGAAGGAAAGGCAAGAGGAGUGAACUGUUCUCAAUGCUCUAACCUGCCUAGACCUUCGCUUUCUGCGUCGUUUUCCGGACAAUGCCACCCUUUACAUCACCGGGACCCACGUUCUGAAAACCUCCCUUUAAAAAAAUAGUCAUCCCUAACUUUAUUAAGUCCAAAAGUGCCUAGAAUGACAGAUCUAAAAACUCAGAAAGCCAGGAGGAAGUCUUGGCCCACAGCUAAUACCGCUGUGAUUAACUGCCCUUAAGAAAAACUUCGCUCCCGCGCAUCAUCCCUCCCCCGCUGAAUGCGGUCCCCCGGACACUGACAACACGAUUGUUAAGUGCAUUCGUACAAUUUAGAAGGGAUUUACAUUCCUGAUCUGUGCAGCCAGAAUAAGAAAACCGAAGUCCAGCCUCAACCAAAUGCAGCCUUGUUUCCCCCAGCGAUCGAAACCCAGCCCUAGCUGUUGGACGCCGCACCGGUGCAAUUGCUAAGGACGCCCUUUCACUGCGCCUCUGCGCAGGUGUGUGUCCGUGCUCUCACCCCUUGCCUUUCGCUUCUCAAAUUAUUCCAGAGCAUAAGAAAGGGAACGGACUGCGGCAAGAGCUUUAUUUUAAAAUGCUUUAGAGCUAAGGAGGUUUGUGGGAAAUCCCUUUAAU
ensembl:lncRNA